AGGGUGCAUGGUGGAUGCCUAGGCGUCGAGAGGCGAAGAAGGACGUGGUAGGCUGCGAUAAGCUCCGGGGAGCUGUCAAACGAGCAUUGAUCCGGAGAUUUCCGAAUGGGGAAACCCGGCGUCACUCCGCAAGGAGAUGGCGUCACGGCAGGCUGAAUGCAUAGGCCUGUGCGAGCAAACCCAGGGAACUGACACAUCUCAGUACCUGGAGGAAAAGAAAUCAACCGAGAUUCCGUUAGUAGCGGCGAGCGAAAGCGGACCUAGCCCAAACCGGGUUUCGGCCCGGGGUUGCGGAAGCAGAGAGCGGUUACAAAGGCAUUGUUAGCGGAAGUGCUUGGAAAGGCACACCACAGAGGGUGACAGUCCCGUACGCGACAACAACUGCCCCGCGUUACCAUCUGCUCUCCAGAGUAGCACGGAGCUCGUGGAACUCCGUGUGAAGCCGGGGGGCCCACCCUCCAAGGCUAAAUACUACUCGACGACCGAUAGUGAACAAGUAAGGUGACUGAAAGGUGGAAAGAACCCCUACUAGGGGAGUUAUAAGAACCUGAAACCGUGUACCUACAAGCGGUCGGAGCUCGAUGUUCACCUUCGGGUGGACCGAGUGACGGCGUACCUUUUGCAUAAUGGACCGGCGAGUUAUUCUCAGCGGCUUGGUUAAGCACUUCCGGUGCGGAGCCGUAGCGAAAGCGAGUCUGAAAUGGGCGAUAUGUCGCUGGGGAUAGACCCGAAACCAGGUGAUCUACCCAUGGACAGGUUGAAGUGCCCGUAAAAGGGUGCGGAGGACCGAAGCCGUGAACGUUGAAAAGUUCUGGCAUGAGCUGUGGGGAGGAGUAAAAGUCUAAUCAAACCUGGAGAUAUCUGGUUCUCCUCGAAAUGUUUUUUGGAACAGCCUCGGGCCACUACGUCAUGGGGGUAGAGCUACUGAAUGAAACGCGGGAGCCACCAGCUUGCCGCCUUCAAUCAAACUCCGAAUACCAUGACGACUAUCCCGGGAGUGAGUCCACGAGGUCAAUCUCCGUGGACGAAAGGGGAAAAACCCAGCUCGCCUGCUAAGGUCCCCAAUUUACGCUCAGUGCAUAAGGAAGUUUGGCUUCCGAGACAUCGGGGAUGUUGGCUUAGAAGCAGCCACCAUUUAAAAAGUGCGUAACAGCUUACCCGACGAGAAACCAAGCGCCGAUAAUGAUCGGGACUAAGCGUAAAACCGAAGCAGCGGAUUCGUACGGCCUGCGGGCUUGUACGAGUGGUAGAGGAGCGUUGAUCAGCAGAUACGGGCCAUACCGUAAGGAGUGGUGGCGGGCUGAUCAAGUGAUAAUGCCGGUAUGAGUAACGAUAAACCGGGUGUAAUUCCCGGUCGCCGUAAACCUAAGGUUUCCUGGGGAAGGGCAAUCCGCCCAGGGUUAGCCGGAUCCUAAGACCAGGCCGAAAGGCGUAGUCGAUGGACAGCAGGUUAAUAUUCCUGCGCCGCGUCAUGCGGUUGAACCAUGCGUGCGUUUUUCCAAGCUGCAGCCCACCAUGAGACGUGAGGGUUCCCGAGAGGGCACCAGGCGCUUUGUUCCUGGUAGUGCGGGGCGGAAGAACCGAGAAAAGCGUAUGGGGACAAGUGGCGCGUCCGUACUAAAACUGACACAGGUAGGUGAGGCGAGUAGCCUCAGGCGCUCGAGAGAACCGUCCUUAAGGAACUAGGCAAUUUUACCCCGUAACUUCGGGAUAAGGGGUCCCUUUUCCGCUGCAGCAAUGUUGCGGGCGAGGGCGCAGAAAAUCGGCACUGGCGACUGUUUAUCAAAAACACAGGUCUCUGCCAAGUCGCACAGACGACGUAUAGAGACUGACGCCUGCUCGGUGCGGGAAUGUUAAGGAAGCCGGUCAGGGGCAACCCGAAGCUGGCAACCGAAGCACCCGUAAACGGCGGCCCUAACUAUGAGGGUCCUAAGGUAGCGAAAUUCCUUGUCGGGUAAGUUCCGACGCGCAUGAAUGGCGUAACGACUGGUGCACUGUCUCAAGGACGGACUCGGUGAAAUUGGAAUCGUGGUGAAGAUACCACGUACCCGCGGCAAGACGGAAAGACCCCGUGAACCUUUACUGUAGCCUGAUAUUGGCCACGAGUAUCUCAUGCGUAGGAUAGGUGGGAGCCGAUGAAGCGUUGGUUCCGGCCAGGGCAGAGGCAACGUUGAAAUACCACCCUUGGGCUAUUCGUAUCCUAACCUUGACCCGUGAAUCCGGGCAGGGGACAGUGUUAGGUGGGCAGUUUGACUGGGGCGGUCUCCUCCUAAAGCGUAACGGAGGAGCACUAAGGUCGGCUCAGCGCGGUUGGCAAUCGCGCGUCGAGUGCAAGGGCAUAAGCCGGCUUAACUGCGAGACCGACGGGUCGAGCAGAUGCGAAAGCAGGUCCUAGUGAUCCGGUGAUCCCGUGUGGAAGGGUCAUCGCUCAACGGAUAAAAGGUACUCCGGGGAUAACAGGCUGAUCUCCCCCGAGCGUCCAUAGCGGCGGGGAGGUUUGGCACCUCGAUGUCGGCCCAUCGCAUCCUGGGGCUGAAGGCGGUCCCAAGGGUUUGGCUGUUCGCCAAUUAAAGCGGUACGCGAGCUGGGUUCAGACCGGCGUGAGCCAGGUCGGUCCCUAUCUGCCGUGGGCGUACGAGACUUGAGAGGAUAUCUUCCUAGUACGAGAGGAUUGGAAGGUA
rnacentral:rRNA from 1 species